GGAGGGCUCGCAUAGUGGCCUAGUGCGGCGGUCUUGAAAACCGCUGUCUGUUUACGCAGACCGGGGGUUCGAAUCCCUCGCCCUCCG
rnacentral:tRNA from 1 species